rnacentral:misc_RNA from 1 species
AAAACGCGAUAAAGUGUUGUGAUGUGCAGUCUUUGAGAAUGAUGAGUAUUUGAACGCACCUUGCACCAUGCUGUAGCAAUACACGUGGUAUGCCUGUUUGAGCAGGGAAAGGAAAUGAACGAGUACGUAGUACGAUGUUCGGAAUGGAGCGUAGGUGAGAGUGCGUAGUGUGUACGAUGCAAAUCUGCACACUCUACACUCCACACACCUUGCUCUGGAAAAUAGCUGGUGGGCGUGAUGAAUGAAUCGAGCUUGCAUUGUUCUUGGGAUAAUCCCAGCAAGAACGGCAACUUCCUUUUCACAUACACCCACCCAACACACCACUACAUUAUCCUCUCAAAUCAGGCAAGAUGACCCGCUGAACUUAA